CCUACGGGAGGCAGCAGUGGGGAAUAUUGCACAAUGGGGGAAACCCUGAUGCAGCAACGCCGCGUGAGUGAUGAAGUAUCUCGGUAUGUAAAGCUCUAUCAUCAGGGACGAAAAUGACGGUACCUGACUAAGAAGCACCGGCUAACUACGUGCCAGCAGCCGCGGUAAUACGUAGGGUGCAAGCGUUAUCCGGAUUUACUGGGUGUAAAGGGAGCGCAGGCGGACCUGUAAGUCAGAUGUGAAAGCCCGGGGCUCAACCUCGGUACUGCAUUUGAAACUGGCGGGCUAGAGUGGAGGAGAGGCGAGUGGAAUUCCUAGUGUAGCGGUGAAAUGCGUAGAUAUUAGGAGGAACACCAGUGGCGAAGGCGGUUUGCUGGACGAUCACUGACGCUGAGGCUCGAAAGCGUGGGGAGCAAACAGGAUUAGAUACCCCUGUAGUC
rnacentral:rRNA from 1 species